rnacentral:tRNA from 1 species
CGGGGGUGGCCGAGCCAGGUCAAAGGGCUAGAACCGACCAUAGGCGCAGGGCUUAGGACCCUGUGGCGUAGGCCUGCGCGGGUUCAAAUCCCGCCCCCCGCA